GUCAGUGUCACACUCGCCAACGCACAGGUUGUCAUUAUGAUUUAGCACGUUCCUUCUUACCAAAUUUGAUUUUGUCGGAAUUCUGUUUUGAAGUAAGUACAAAAAUGAUUAUUUAUAACUUUUUAUAACAAAAAUAGAACGUUACAAUAUUUAAAAAAAAUACUAAUUAUUUGAUAGAUAAUAGAUACAAUACAAGAUAUAUAUGACUUUUAUGUAUGUGUGUAAAACAAAGAAAGUACAAGAAUAGAUGAAAAUACAUUAGAGAUCAAUAAAUAAUUAAUGUUGAUGUUACUCGUCUAAAUUUUAAGUGGUAGCUAAUAUAAUUUAUAUAAAAUAAUUAAGAAAAUAUAUAAUUUAUAACUUUUUAUAACAAAAAUAGAACGUUACAAUAUUUUAUACGAUUAUUUAAAAAAAAAAUACUAGUUAUUUGAUAGAUAAUAGAUACAAUAUAAGAUAUAUAUGACUUUAAAAUUUAUAAUUAUUUUGUAUUUCUCCAACCCAAACAAAAUCACUUUAUAUUUCUAACAUUAUAAUUUUAAUUUUCACAUAACAUGUAUCGCUUUAAAAAUCAUAUUUAAUACAAUAAGGAUAAUGAAGAUAGUGAUGUCCUACAUAUAGUUGAUGUUGUUGUUUAUGAUUGAAAUGUAUGAUUAUAAAAGUCAUAUUUUAUUUUUGGUAUAAUCUAAGAAUCAUAUUUACUUCAUGAGAAAGAUAAAAAAUCAAUUGUUUGUUAUUUAGCUAAUAUUUUAAACGUGGAAUUAGUCACUUUAGUCCAUGAAUGAGAAAAGAGUAGUCACUUUAGCCGCCGAAUGCUGAGAAAUUGCAAAACAGUCCCUGAAUGUAGACUUUAUUGGUCAAUUUCAGCGACUAAAGUGAUUAACAAAGUCUACAUUCAGGGACUAAAUUGACGAACAGAGUCUGCAUUCAGGGACUAAAUUGACUAACAGAGUCUACAUUCAGAGACUAUUUAGCAAUUUAUCUACAUUCAGUGACUAAAGUGAAGACUCAUUUCUUAUUUAAGGACUAAAGUGACUAAUCUCCCUAUUUUAAACCGAAUACCAUGCGAAUUAACAUAUUUACCCUUAAUGUUUUCAGACACGUGAGAAAUGCAUAUGCAAGAAGAGUCACACUGACACGGAAGCUGUAUUGAUGGCUGCUACUAAACCAACCACUAAACGUCGUCGUUUAAGUGCUGUAUAAAAAAUAUAAUGUAAUGAAAAAUUACCUGAACGCAUAAGCAGCCGCCAAAAAGAGUGAUAAUCACUUUCAGAAGCAGAACAACUCAAAACGAUGGCGUUUUCAUCUUCAAUCACAACCAUACCACAAACCCUAAACUUCACUUCCUCUAACAAACUCUCACUCUCUUCUUCAACGACGUCGUUUCAUCUCUCAUUUCCUUCAUUUCAAUCCAACUCCUUCAAAACUAUCACCACCACCUCUCCACAUAUCACACGCGCCCACGCGCCACCUUCUCCCGUUACCACCACCGCUGCUUCAUCUUUUCACGGUCUCUGCUAUGUCGUCGGUGAUAACAUCGACACUGAUCAAAUCAUCCCUGCUGAGCAUCUUACAUUAGUUCCUUCCAAUCCUGAUGAGUAUCAGAAGCUUGGUUCGUUUGCCUUAAUCGGACUUCCUG
rnacentral:lncRNA from 1 species